rnacentral:rRNA from 1 species
GCCAGAGGGUGCAAACGUUGUUCGGAAUUACUGGGCGUAAAGCGUGUGUAGGCGGCUACGUAAGUCGGAUGUGAAAGCCCCAGGCUCAACCUGGGAAGUGCACUCGAUACUGCGUAGCUUGAGUAUCGGAGAGGUUGGUGGAAUCCUCGGUGUAGAGGUGAAAUUCGUAGAUAUCGAGAGGAACACCGGUGGCGAAGGCGGCCAACUGGACGAAUACUGACGCUGAGACACGAAAGCGUGGGGAGCAAACAGG